CUCACCCAUUCAUCUUCCAAGAGUUUUUUUCUCUUGACCGUCCAUUCUUGAAAAGUCUCCCUAUUUAUUAAUGUUUUAUUGGGAGAGUUGUUUCGUUCUUAUCCCUCUAAUUAUCUCUUUCUUGCCUUGCCCUUUUACUUUUUCUUGCAGAUCAGAUUUAUCUUCUAUGAUAUUUCUUUCAAGUUUCUGCCUUCGGAAUCGGUUGCGUCGCUUCACGAACUUCGAUUUGAUGUAAGAUUUUCUACGAUAGGAGUAUUAUUGUUACCGGAUCUAUGUUUUACAUUGCUUCAGGUGCUUUAGAGUUGGGAAGCAGGCAACGGAUGUCUUGGUGUAUAUUAAUUUGGAAGAUCUUUGCCUUUUACGGAGGGUUGGUGAAGGAUUAGAUACUUGGAUGAGAAUUUGGACGAUGGCGUUGUUCUUCCGAUGUUCUAAUUCAGCCGUCUGAUCUAUGGCCGAUGUGGGAUUCACAGGUUGUUAUGCUUAUGAAAGGAUGUGUAAGAUGUCAGGGCAAAAGGGCCUUAAUAUUGAUUGGAAGGGGCUGAGUCCUGAUCUAUCUUUGUCAUCCAAGACCUUUGCCAUGACAGGUGCGCUUGCAUGGCAGGUCACCCAAACUUAAUAAAAAUUUUAUUUUCUUGGUGUUUUUGAGGGGAGUUCGCACGGGGUUGCCCGGGUUCUCCCCUCUGCUGUGGUGUGGUGUGGUGUUUCCCGCUCUUUUACUUUUUUUUUCUUCCUCUUUUCUCGCUUUCCACUAUUUUUCCUUUGAUACUCUGCACCAUUCGGGAUGGAUUCAUGAUCCAAUUCAUCAUCUCCAUCAUCAUGGUCAACAUGGAAUAAGCUCAUGAUCUCCAAACCAUUGAUCGCAAGGCCAAGGUAUUCUUUACAUAUUUAAAACCAAAAUUUGCCCUAUCGAAUUUUACUUUUAAAAUUUAAAUAUGUUUUCUAUUAUGCAAGUAGGUUACCUAUAAUUUUGACAAAUCUAACUAUUGUCAUUACUUUCCAACAUAUUUUUUUCUUAUUAAAAAUCACUCAUAAAUUUUUGAAAGGAAUUCACUGAUAAUUUAAUUAAAAAUAAAUUCAUUUAUAAUUAUAUUUACUAUCUUUGAAAAAAAGUACCAAGUUAAUUUAAUACGAUAUUAAUUGUUUUCUUUUGAGUGUUGUUGUGAUGAAGAGCAAUAGGUUUUAUUUCUGACUUUGAGGAGAGGCCUCUUGAUGCUUGAACCCAUAAUCUCUAUAUUCCUUGUGGUAAUGGGAUCGUUUGUUCAAGUAUAAAGAGGUACCUCUUGGCAGAAUCUUGAGAUAAAAUUUUGUGCUGCUCUCCAGUGCAAUAAUAUUCUGAAGAAAACGAUACUUUGGUCUUAUCAGUAUGACAACAAAAAUAGUUUUCAAAAUUAGAUUAUACCAAGUUACUUCAACUCUGAUUAAUUUUUCAUUCUUAGAAAAGCUUAUUUAUAAACAAUUACUUACAAACUGACGACUCUUUGCCUAAUUUCUUUUUCUUAAAGAAAUUUUGUUUUUAAAACCAAUUUACUCUUUUGGUAUAAAUGAAAUUAAAUGAACUUAACGUUACUUAGAAAGAAGUAAUUAAUAUUAAUAUUGGUAGAUAAAUUUAUCAUUUUGGUAACGUCAUUUAAGUCGUAGUCUGAUUAAAAACUGGUUCUAACUUAAAGUGCAUUGAAAUGAAUUUGGUUAUAUGUUAGACUUGCAAUAUAGAGUUGAACAGAACAUCUCCAAUUGCCGUGAUUCAUAUAGAGAAAUAGUGCAGUUUCUACUUUUUUUCAAGAUGCAUUGAAAAAUCCCUUAAUUUCCACAAUCUCUCAACUGAUAUUCAUCAUUGAUUCAAAAGUGCUGCCAAUACUACAGCUUGAAAGUACUUUCUAUUGAUGGCCAUUCACGUUAAAAGGUUUCCACCAUUUACGAUCAAAUUACCAGUGUGUCUAUCAUGAUUGUUCUAUUUCAAGGUUUAUUUCCAUCUCAUAUCAUUUUGCCUGCAACCACUUUAAUUCCCUUUAAUUCUUAUGGUAUUUUAUCUGUAUAUUUUUGCUAGUGCAUUACCGAACUCUGUACUUGUAGGAGAAUGCCAUGUGCAGGUUGAGGCAUGUAUUUUUGUGUGUAUUGCUUUUUGUAGUUCUUUAGGCCCUUGCAUGGGCUUCUUUUUUAGAUGGAUUGAAGGUUGGGACUUCACUAGCACUAGAUAUUGGAAGGUGUACCAUGUCAAGCAUGUUGGCCAAUAUUAACACUGGAAAUCAAGGCCUACAAGGUGAACUGUAAAUCUAGCUUUGCCAAGUUUCAAGAUUUAUGUCCGAAGGCAUGGUUAGACAUAAGAGGCAAGGGAUCAAAGCUUUGGAGGGCUCCUAGUCGGGAUGAUCAUCUCAAAUUCACAUGCAGUAGCAGGUCUAUUCCUGGAAGAUUAUUCAUUAGUUGCUAAUUUGAAGCAAGAGUUAAUUGUUUGAACCCCCUCUUGGUUUACGUGGUGCAGUGCUCUACUUAGUGUUGAAGAACUACUGUUAGUUGUUGAAGUUGGUCAUACGAGGUACAUGUCUACUGUGUAACAAGUUCCUUUACAUAGUGAAAAUUUUUAGCGGACUACGGUCCCGUGGUUUUUCCCCUUGAAAUAUCAAGGGGUUUUCCACGUAAAUUCUGGUGUCUUGUUUUACAUUCAUAUUGCACGAUAAUGUUGCUCAUUGGCACUUCAACAAUUACGCUGAAAUACGUCUUAGGGCAGAUUUUAUAUGCCUAUAGCAGGUAUGAAAAAAAGAUACCAUUUUCUUUCCCA